UUAGUCUAAAGUAGGAGGGGAAAUCGCACUAUUCAUAUGAACAGUGUUUUGGACCACAUUUCAGUUUAUUUACGAGGCUGCCACUGACUCUCUCUGCCGCUGAUCUUCAUGCCGCGUGUUGAUAAUCGUGGAAAGGCAGGGGUGCGAUGGUCGUUUUAGUCUGUAGGGUUUCGAACAGAUUGGGUGGGUGAGAGACUUUCAUUUCCUUUCUUUCUGAGCUGAGAGAGAGAGAGAGAGAGCGAGCGAGCAGAGGGAGAAGAGAGAAAGGGAGGGAGGGGGAGAGAGAUAGGGAUUGGUGAGAGGAAGGCAUGCGGCUUACAGGCAGACAGAGUCACGGGGGGUGUACAAUUCGAGGGAGAGAAAGAGAGGGGAUUGAGUGGUGAUGCUCGAUUUGGGAAGAGAAAGAGAGAGACAAGGAGAGCGCGAUUUUGGGGUUAUGCGACGGCGGGAGAGAGGGCGAGGGUUGUUGCAUCCGUGUCACUCAAAGUGGGUUGCGAGAGAGUGAGAGUUCUGCCUUCUAGGGUUUGAGAGUUGGUUUCGAGAAAGUGAGGGGGCCUAAGUGGGGGUAAGGCUCGGGCUGGGUUUGUGGAAUGGGGCUGGAUUAGUUACAGACAGAGAAGCGGUGGAGGGUGUGGAAUGUCAGGGAGAGGAAGGGAGAGGGAGUUCUGCCAAAAAACGUGGGUUGCAGAGCUACAACAAGGGAGAUGGGCGUGGAUUGGCAAGGAGCGGAAGGGAGAGGGAGGAGUGAGGCUUGCAAAAAGGGGGUUGGAUUGAUUUUUCCUCCUCAAAUCAAUGGGUGGUGUCGGGAUUGAGGGGUGGGUCGAAAGUGGGCAUGGUUGUGAGGGAGAGAGGGAUGGCAGAGACAGAGGUCAUGGAGUUGGGCGUGGGAAUUCCACAAAUCAGUGGUGUUAAUAUCAGCAAUGAGCAUUACUGGGAUGUAUAUUGUUUAUGGAAGAAGCUCAGUCUCAAACGAUCCCUCGAUCUCUUCUCCCCUGCAUAUGGCGAACUUCCUCCUCCCUCCUCCCGACCCUGAGAG